ACGGCGGCCGUAACUAUAACGGUCCUAAGGUAGCGAAAUUCCUUGUCGGGUAAGUUCCGACCCGCACGAAAGGCGCAACGAUCUGGGCACUGUCUCAACGAGAGACUCGGUGAAAUUAUAGUACCUGUGAAGAUGCAGGUUACCCGCGACAGGACGGAAAGACCCCGUGGAGCUUUACUGCAACCUGAUAUGGAAUGUUUGUACCGCUUGUACAGGAUAGGUAGGAGCCGAAGAGACGUGUGCGCUAGCAUACGAGGAGGCAAUGGUGGGAUACUACCCUGGCUGUAUGACCAUUCUAACCCGCCACGCUUAGCGCGUGGGGAGACAGUGUCAGGUGGGCAGUUUGACUGGGGCGGUCGCCUCCUAAAGAGUAACGGAGGCGCCCAAAGGUUCCCUCAGAAUGGAUGGAAAUCAUUCGCAGAGUGUAAAGGCACAAGGGAGCUUGACUGCGAGACUGACAAGUCGAGCAGGGACGAAAGUCGGGCUUAGUGAUCCGGUGGUUCCGCAUGGAAGGGCCAUCGCUCAACGGAUAAAAGCUACCCCGGGGAUAACAGGCUUAUCUCCCCCAAGAGUCCACAUCGACGGGGAGGUUUGGCACCUCGAUGUCGGCUCGUCGCAUCCUGGGGCUGUAGUCGGUCCCAAGGGUUGGGCUGUUCGCCCAUUAAAGCGGCACGCGAGCUGGGUUCAGAACGUCGUGAGACAGUUCGGUCCCUAUCCGUCGCGGGCGCAGGAAAUUUGAGAGGAGCUGUCCUUAGUACGAGAGGACCGGGAUGGACACACCGCUGGUGUACCAGUUGUUCCGCCAGGAGCAUCGCUGGGUAGCUAUGUGUGGCAGGGAUAAACGCUGAAAGCAUCUAAGCGUGAAGCCCCCCUCAAGAUGAGAUUUCCCAUUUCUUCGGAAAGUAAGAUCCCUGAAAGAUGAUCAGGUAGAUAGGUUUGGAGUGGAAGUGUAGCGAUACAUGGAGCGGACAAAUACUAAUCGAUCGAGGACUUAACCAA
rnacentral:rRNA from 1 species